CUUAGUUGAUUUGAAUUGAUAAGCAGAUGGUCUAUGAGGUACAUGGUUAAUAGCAUGUUAGAAUUCUGAUAGCA